rnacentral:rRNA from 1 species
CUUUCAACAACGGAUCUCUUGGUUCUGGCAUCGAUGAAGAACGCAGCGAAAUGCGAUAAGUAGUGUGAAUUGCAGAAUUCAGUGAAUCAUCGAAUCUUUGAACGCACAUUGCGCCCCUUGGUAUUCCAUGGGGCAUGCCUGUUCGAGCGUCAUUA